AUACACUGUGUGUGGUGGAAAAGGAAUGAGCAACUGAUUGGCUAAAACCCAUUGAGAGCAAAAUAAGGAGUGGAAGUGUGUGUGUUAUGGAUCAUCUGUUUUCAGUUUUUGAGUUGGUCUUCAUCUUCAUUGCCUUCACUAUCAUGUGCUUAUUUGGCCUGGCUGCCAUCUACACCUAUAAUACAGAUCAUCAAGGUGAUUGAAUUCAGACAGAGCAGAUCACAUAACAAAUCAACUCGAAGAAAAUGUCCUCGAUAAACAGGCCCGACUCACCAAAAGCUGUUAACCAAUGGACAGAAGUGAAAUCUGAAAUCACAUACAGGUUUAUAUAUAGUAGGUGAAAAAAACAGUAUGUGACAAAAAGAAGCAUGCCUGAAUUUAAAAUGCGGGAAAAGGGUACAAGGAUGACAACAUGGCAACUGAAUGUCCAGAUUAUAUGUAUACCACACUAUAUUGGCCCUAUAUAAUUGCCAUCGAUUAACCACCCAGCCAGGUGGCCAGGUGAUGUCAGAUUGUAGUUUUGGAGACUUUUUGAGCCUAAGAUUUUGGGCCAUUUGAACCAUUGUCCUAUAACAGUAGCUGAGGUUUCCUCAUCCUGUGUUAAUGCAUACUUUGAAGAAGUGAUGAAAAUGCCAAAUUUUUUAUGAAAAAAUCCCUUAAUUCGCAAACAAACUUUUUAUAAGCUCACUUGAGCUGGCUUUGGACUUGUGUGAAAAAGGUUUAAUGCAAAUAUUGGGAGAUGAAAACUCCUUUUUAGAAUAAAAUGAUGUAGCGAACAUUAAACCCACAUGAUUCCAUUAUGCUUGCCUUGUUUACUGUUAGUUUCUAGGUUACCAAUACUACAGUCGGUUGCUCUAAAAACAUGAUGGAAACACACCUAAUUAGGAUAUGUUUAUAUUUUUUAACGAAAAUUUGAAAAGAUUCACUUUAAGUUAGGGUGCAAACCUG
rnacentral:lncRNA from 1 species